rnacentral:lncRNA from 1 species
AACCUUUGUGAUUGUCACUAUAUGGAAUCCCUAUUUCUUCAAAAUCAAUAUCUCCCCAAACAUCAUCAAGUAUUACAAGAAUCUUUUCACCAUUUGUUAAUCUUUUCCAUAGUUUUAAAGAACUCUACAACCUUUGUGAUUGUCACUAUAUGGAAUCCCUAUUUCUUCAAAAUCAAUAUCUCCCCAAACAUCAUCAAGUAUUACAAGAAUCUUUUCACCAUUUGUUAAUCUUUUCCAUAGUUUUAAAGGUCGGUCUGAUUCACUACAGUCAUCAAACUUCAAUCCCAAGGGCCCAGCAAUAUCAUCUUGAAUCCUUUUAAUAUCAGGAGAAAAUGACACUGUCGUAACAAUAAUGCACGAAAAUUGUGUGGAUUGCUUAAGUUUCUUACCAACUUCUUUGGCCAAUGUAGUUUUUCCUGUGCCCCCCAUCCCUUGCAACCCGAUUAUAUAAUUGUUGUCAUCUUCCAAUGCAUCCAAAAGCUCAUUAUAUUUCGAUUCUCUGCUUUUAAAAGAAAUAUAGUGUCGGGAUGAAUAACGUUCAACAUCUGGAAGAGGAGCAGGGAGUCCGAUUGCAAGUUCCUUUCCAAUUUCCAUUAAUUUUUUUAUUUGGUCUUUUUUAUUUGCCAGUUCCUUUCCCCUUCUGUAUUGCCAUAUGCAAUUAGGAAAUAAUCCAAUAAAACAUUUCUGUUUUGUUUUGGUGUCUUCUUGAAUGAGCUUAUCAGCUUUUUCUUCCCAAAAAAGAGCAUUUGCUUCAACAUCUUCUCCUCUUCUUUUUGCAACUUUAACACGCUGCCCAACAGCUGUCCUUUCUGCUUCCAACCAAACUUUUUCUUCUUCAAGUUCCUUAGACAAUGAUGGUGAAAACAUAUAUAACGGAAUCUCUUUAGCCCUUCAUUAUUCAACUUCUCCAUAUUUUGCUUUGCGUAAUCAUCAGAAAACUCGCCAUCUAAAUCAUUUUCAAUAUAUCAAAGUUAGGCAUACAUGUUCAACAUUGCUUCAAUAUAUCAAAUUAAGCAUUUACAAAAUUAUGCCAUAAUUCUAAAACACUGCAUAAAGUUGAGGACAAAUAUAGAAUUGAAGAUAAAUUGAUCUGGGGUUAUGAGCAACAACAAAAUAGCAACCAUAUUAUUGUUUUUUUUACCUGUUUUUUUCACCACUUUCAAUGCAAGCAAGCUCGGGUUGAUUGAGAAAUUAAUCUUCUUCUUUCUCCAAUAUGUAGUGCUUUCUUCAGUUCAAGUUAUGCAAGCAGUAAACAAAAAGCAGCAAGAUUACAUCAUAUAUAUAUAGUGCUGGCACAACUGUUAUAUACGAGGAAUAAAUUUCAUUCUCCGAUACCCCUUCACACGAUGGAGCUAGGUAUAUAUCUAUCAAGCCCAAUUUUAAAUCUAAAGUCGUGAAAGGUUAGGGGAGAAGACCUUUGGUGAAAAAGUCCACAACUUGUUCUUGAAAACUCACAGAUGACAAAAGCAAUACACCAGUUUGUACUUGGUCAAAAACAAUGUAGCACUUUAUGACAUUAGUUGCAAUAUGAAAUGAACUUUGAUUAUCAUAAUAAAAGAAUUUUAAGAUCAGCCAAGAAAAACAAAAGUCACUUAACAUAAUGUUGAGUCGAGUGAUGAUCAAAUAUAUCAAACGACCAAUGAAACAUCUUUCAUGUAUAUAUCAUAUGCAUCAAUACGAGGUUUCAUCGAGAUUUGGUGAAGAUAUUGGUUAACUAAUCAUUUGAGCAUAUGUUUCAACGGGUCUUAAACGAGACUCUAAUAUUAUCAGAAAAAUUAUGGUUGGUUUAACUUAACCUUAAAAAACCGACUUGUACGGUAAAGACUGCUCCAAUUUAUAUACACAUAUUCAAACAAUUAAUGAUAUAUGGUAUAACGUUAGAUUUCUUAACAAUUUACAAAAAAGUAUAUACACAACGCACACGUUACCACGGUCCUUUGAAGGAUCGUGGUGAUAUAUCUAAAUUCAGGUGCCACUAUUAUUUUAAUUAAAAAUUAUUAACAUAUUACAACGGUUAUUUUGAACAACUGUGGUGAUAUCUUUAAUCUUUCAUUGGUUUGAAUCCCAACACUAGUAAAUCCGUGAUUUCUUCAGAAUUUUAGUUGAGUCUUUCACUUUUAUUUAAAAGUGAUAUCACUUCAAUUUUUUUUAUAAAAUUUCAUUAAGUAAACAAUAUAUCAUCAUGACUCUUUUAGAUGACCGUGGUGGAAUGAUUUAUUCUUUUGUGAAAAUAAUCUGCUCUUUUGACUCGAUAGCUCUACCAACUAUAAUGAUAACUAUGACACAUAGGAACACAUGUUCACGAAGAAGGUAGAGGUUUCUGGAUGUACUAUAAAUAGAUAUAUCGAAUAGAACCGAAUUUGAGAACCCUUCAUCUUUCUCUUAUCUUUUUGAUAUUUUAUGUAGAUUGUCAAACCAAGAAUGAAAUAUGGAUAUAGAAUGAAUUUUAUCAUAUUCAAUUUUAUUCUAUCCAUUAUUUAUAAACUCGAACAAUAUAAUCUCACUAUUUAUCAUUCCAUUCCAUUUUGUCUCAUACCACCAAUCUAAACAUAAGAAAAAGGUAUAGCCUAUAACAGCUAGGUUGGGGUCUUCAGUGAAUCAUCCACCAAAACAAUUAUUCUAUGUGUAUACUAGUGUUAUUGAUUCUAGGUUAUGAGACAAUUGUUAUUUAUUGUUGGAAAUUGUUUUGCAAUAUUAGUUUCAAAAUGACAAAAGAGUUAAAUAGCAUUUAAUGCUUUGCUUUAAGUCCCACAUAGAAAGUGGAGACAUCCUUUAAAGCAUUUAUAAAUGCUUUGGAACUUUAAAAAGAACUCUACAACCUUUGUGAUUGUCACUAUAUGGAAUCCCUAUUUCUUCAAAAUCAAUAUCUCCCCAAACAUCAUCAAGUAUUACAAGAAUCUUUUCACCAUUUGUUAAUCUUUUCCAUAGUUUUUUAGGUCGGUCUGAUUCACUACAGUCAUCAAACUUCAAUCCCAAGGGCCCAGCAAUAUCAUC